rnacentral:lncRNA from 1 species
AUCAUAUGUUGGUUGUUUCUCAGAAAGAGCUUUGAUGAAAUCAUGCGACUGGUGUGGUCUGGCCACCCGACAACCUGCCCACCUGACCCCAUCCCCUCCUACCCGCUCCAGCCCAUAUCAGGAGACCUUCUCCCAUUCCUCACUUCCCUCAUCAACUCAUCCCUGACCACUGGCUGCGCCCCUUCUGACUUCAAAAUGGAAAUCUAUCUAUUGCAUUUGACACUGUGGACCAUCAGGUCCUCCUCUCCACCCUCUCAGGGCUGGGUGUCUAAGUCUCUGCACACUCUUGAACUGCUCCAACCAGGUGGAAUGGAGAGGAUCUGUGUCAGCACCACGUACUCUCACUACUGCUGUCUCCCAGAGCUCGGUUCUAGGUUAAAAUGUAAAUGUAAAGUGUGUGUUGGAGCAGGGCUGGAACAAAAGCCUGCAUACACAGUAGCUCUCCAAGAGGAGGGUUCUCCACCUCUGAUGUAAAAGGCUUCAAAACAGUAGUUCUCCAGGAGGAGGGUUCUCCGCC